rnacentral:rRNA from 1 species
CCUACGGGAGGCAGCAGUAGGGAAUCUUUCACAAUGGGCGAAAGCCUGAUGGAGCAACGCCGCGUGCAGGAUGAAGGCCUUCUGGUUGUAAACUGCUUUUAUAAGCGAGAAAUAUGAUGGUAACUUAUGACUAAGGAUCGGCUAACUACGUGCCAGCAGCCGCGGUCAUACGUAGGAUCCGAGCAUUAUCCGGAGUGACUGGGUGUAAGGAGUUGCGUAGAUGGCAUAAUAAGUAGCUAGUGAAAUCUGGUGGCGCAACAAUUCAGACUAUUGGCUAAACUGUUAAGCUCGAGACCGUUAGGGGUAACUGGAAUUUCUGGUGUAGGAGUGAAAUCCGUAGAUAUUA